rnacentral:tRNA from 2 species
GAAUAUGGUGAAGUGGUUAACACGCCAGAUUGUGGCUCUGGUAUGCGUGGGUUCGAUCCCCACUAUUC